GACGAACGCUGGCGGCGUGCCUAACACAUGCAAGUCGAGCGAAGUUAUUCCUUCGGGAAUAACUUAGCGGCGGACGGGUGAGUAACACGUGGGUAACCUGCCUUAUAGAGGGGGAUAGCCUUCCGCAAGGAAGAUUAAUACCGCAUAACAUUGCGCUUUCGCAUGGAAGCUUAAUCAAAGGAGCAAUCCGCUAUAAGAUGGACCCGCGGCGCAUUGGCGAGUUGGUGAGGUAACGGCUCACAAAGGCGACGAUGCGUGGCCGACCUGAGAGGGUGAUCGGCAACAUUGGGAAUGAGACACGGCCCAGACUCCUACGGGAGGCAGCAGUGGGGAAUAUUGCACAAUGGGGGAAACCCUGAUGCAGCAACGCCGCGUGAGUGAUGAAGGCCUUCGGGUUGUAAAGCUCUGUCUUUGGGGACGAUAAUGACGGUACCCAAGGAGGAAGCCACGGCUAACUACGUGCCAGCCGCCGCCGUAA
rnacentral:rRNA from 1 species